UAAAAAAUACGAAACUCCUCCUCCUCCCCUUUUGUUUCCUGCGGGAAAGGAAAUUCCUAAAAAUUAGAAGCCCCCACCUCCAAAAAUUCAUCGAUUCAAGAAACGAAAUCCCCAAAAAUCAGUAUAGAAGUGUCCACAACUGAAACCAAUACAUUGACACAAACAAGGAGUGAUAAAUCAUUGGAGUUCCUGGGUGUUUUUAUUGCUUUGAAAGUUGCGCUCUACAACAUUUUGUUGCCAUAUUGGUGUUUAAUACUUUUACAAAUCUUCUUUGGUGCAUAAGUUAGGGUUGACAAGCUUUCUUGAUGCUGCUAAUCAAUGCUGGCUGAAAAAAUGUGCCCUCUCAAAAACUGGAUGUUCAUUUAAAGUUGGUUGCUACUCUUUUGGCUGAUAUAAAAGGUGUUCUUUCAAAGUUCGAUGCUAAAAUUGGUGCUCUGCCAAAGUUGGUUGCUACAAUAUGUGAUAUCUAAAAGUAGUUGUUUUAUCUUAGUUAUAUUGUCCUUGAAAAUUGUAUCUCCUUAGAGCCUUUUAUUCAGCUGUAGGUAUAAACUUUUUUUGGCGCAACUGCCUGCUGCCUUUGGUUUUUAUAAAAUCCUUGUCGUUAAAAAAACAUAUUUGAUUAUGUUAUUUUGUCUCCCAUAUUGAA